rnacentral:rRNA from 1 species
UACGUAGGUGACAAGCGUUGUCCGGAUUUACUGGGCGUAAAGAGCGCGCAGGCGGUCGUUCAAGUCGAGUGUGAAAGCCCCCGGCUCAACUGGGGAGGGUCACUCGAUACUGAUGACUUGAAGGCAGGAGAGGGAAGCGGAAUUCCCGGUGUAGUGGUGAAAUGCGUAGAUAUCGGGAGGAACACCAGUGGCGAAGGCGGCUUCCUGGCCUGCUCUUGACGCUGAGGCGCGAAAGCUAGGGUAGCAAACGGG